rnacentral:lncRNA from 1 species
GUUUUAAUUGUGUUGUCACUGUAGGCCAGGCCUAUUCAACUAGCGGCUCGUGGGCGAAUACGGCCCUUCUGAACUUUUUUUUCUGGCCCACAAGAGGUUGCAUGCAAAUCUGUCUGACAUAGCAUAUAUAAAACCAAGGCCUCAUUCACACCAAACCUGGCGAUGCGGCGAAAACCGCAGGUUUUUCCAUUCUAUUCCGAGCUGCAGCAGCGUCCGGAAGAAAACGCACUCUGUCCGCACGUGCCAUCGGCUCAGGCAAGCUCACGCAGCACACUAGGUUGGCGGGCCACAGAGAAAGUCACUCCCUUACUUACUAGCUAGGCAAGCUAACAAAACACGCUUCAAGAUGUCUCUCUCCAAGCCAAAAAAAUGUAAAGUUGAUUCUGAAAAUCGCCACUUCCAGAGCGAAUGAACGGACACAUAUUUAUUUACUUUGCCAGCCGCAACAAGUAAUAAACUGGUGUGUUUAUCGGACAAUGAAUGUAUUUCCGUGAUGAAAGAAUACAAAGUGAAGAGGCACUGCGAGUCAAGUCACGGCUAGUUUUCUGCCUGUUUUCCCGUGGGCUCAGAGGAACGGAGAAGGAAAGUACAGGGACCGUUAGCAUCAUCUGAACGGAGUCAAGUGGCUUUUAGUUGCUUUUGCACGGAACAAGAGAGCCACGAUAGCUGCUUUUUUUUGUUCUCUCCCCUCCUUAUCUCCGCUCUGUCUCUGUCUGCAGGUGUGUGCGCACGUAUCGCGCGUGUGUGUGUGUGUGUCGCGAAACAGAGCAUGUUGUGAAAAUGGACAUGGACCUGGCCCUAGAUCAUCUUCUGGUAGAUCUUAAGUCUGUGAAGUCCAAUGGGGUCUGGAGGAGGAGAAGAAGAAGAAGAAGAAGAAGAAGAAGAAGAAGAAGAAGAAGAAGAAGAAGAUCUGCCCAGGCAGCUAUAAAUGUGUUUGCAUGUUAACUGAAAGAUCAUAGUGUGUGUGUAUCUCCGAUCCUCGCUGAGGUCUCCACAUGGCAAUAGGACAGAAGCUGGCCGUGCAAGUUGCCGGGAGAGGCUGUAGGUGGAGGUGCUCUCCAGACACCGCUGACAUUCCUCUGCUGCAGCUACUCCUCUUCCCAGAUGGGUAAACAUUUUUAAAUAACUCUGUCACACUCUGCCAUACUUUGCCACACAGAGUCACACAGAGCCACACAGAGUCACACAGAUACGAUACAAGGUGCACAUCAACUCGUCAGUAGUGAUACACUCACAUACUCUUUUUAUGACCAUCAGAUCAGUUAAAAAUAAUAAUAAUAUAUUCACAACUCACUUUUCACAUUGAACAGGUGCUCUUUUAUUAAAUAAACUAAGCGC